rnacentral:lncRNA from 1 species
UGCAAUAGCUGCAAUACAUUCCUUAACACUUACCUCACUCAGUUUAAGAAACUCUUGCAGGUAUAUUUUUUUAUGCUCUUCCAUUUCUUUCAGCUCUUCUUUUCCAUGGUGAAUGGGCCCAAUGGAGACUAGUUGAGGCGUGUAGGCAUAUUCCUUCGAGUCGCGUAGUCUUUUCGGGAGAAGGCAUGCAAGGCAUUCACUUAUCAGAGAAGGCAUGCAAGGUUUUCAACUCCCCUUCCACAGACGCUGUUAAUUUGUCAAUGUCAAGCGAAACAUGAUCAUUGCUUUUCAUCUGCUCAGUUGAUGUUCCGACUUUCUCCAUCCUGUGACGCAAAUCUCAAUUGAUCAAUCAUUGAAAUGAUCUCUACAGUCAAGAUUACCAAGUCAUUUAAUUGAUACGGAUGCUUUAACAAAUUCCAACACAAAUGUAAAGAGGAAAUGAAAAUAUCACACAAAAUAUUAUCAAACAUUCACAAAAAUAUUUGGAAGGAAUCGAAUCUGAAUUAUUACAACAUACGUGGCUUCUCUAAAUUACAACUUGCAUACUUAGAUUUGCUUCAAAACAUAUAUAGAAAAAGCACUCACCGGCCUUCUGGCAGAAACAAAAAACUCACUCAGUAGCUCUAGGUUUUUUCACAAACUAUGGUCUGAAGUGUUUCUGAUCAGAAUCUUCUUGAAUAUUCUGUUCCUGCAUUUCUCCAUCAGUUCUUAUUCUACACAAAGUCUUAUACAAGAGUUACGAUCAUGUUGUCACCCCUUGAAGGGCGAGUCCAUCAUAGACUUCAUGUUCAUACAUUUGUCAUGCAGGCACCAGAAUAAAAAGUAGGUCCCCUCCGAGUCUACAACACCUGAUUUUGAGAGAAAAACAUUGGAGAUAAAGAGCGCGCUCACCGCAACAUUCAUUUUCAAGAAGAGUUGGAGUCUCUGAACAAAAGCUUGACUCACCUCUAGCUUACUCGAGCAAAUAUUGAAAAAUAUCUCUAGGGAAAUUCCUUCCAAUUGACCUAUCAUUUUGUUCAAAGCCCCAACAAAGACUCAACCCGAAGAAAUUGGGGGCCCACAUGAUCAAGAGCCUCAACACAAUUUGAAGGGGAAUUGCAUCACCGUUGCAGAAUGGAGCCUGUUCUUGCUCUGCCAAAAUAACUAUUUUAAAUUCCUUCCAAUUGCGGGAUUUUCCGACGUGCGACAAUUACAACCAUUUUAAAUUCCUUGAGCUAUUAUCAAUUCGAAGUUUACAACCAUUUUAAAUUCCCUGUUAUCAAUUCGAAGUUUGUUUCUUUCACAGAAUAAGUCUUCCAUAGUUCCAUUAUCAUCAAUCGUCAAUAAGUCACAGAAUCACGAUAAUUCAAAAUCAUCUAUCUACACAGUCUUGAGAAUCACGAUGGGAACUGAUCAAAAUGAUUCAAUUGAUAAAUGGGAAAAUGAUAAUUCACGAAAUCACAUAAUCACAUUACAUUCAACUGCAUCUUCUUGCAGCAAAUUACAUUCAGUAGAAUCACAGGUUCCAUGGGAACUGAUCACAAAAUACAUUCAGCAGAACUAAUCACCGAUUCCAAGACUACCAAAGCAAACAAGAUCAACAGGGCAUUCGGUUCCAAGACUAAUCAGUAAUCACCGAUUCACAGCAAACCUAGAUAAUUUUUUGUCUCUAAUCACUGAUUCACCACCAUUAGAUAGAAAAAAACAAAGCUUGGGUUCCUCAUUCGUACCUUCAUCUCGCUCUGGAGUGUGAGACAGAGAGGGGAUGAUUGGACGAAGUUGCGACUUUGGAGUCAGGGAGGGUGUGACCGUGUGAGACAGGGACGAUGAAGUCACUGACAAAGCCGCGAGACAGGGACGAAGACGAAGGGGACGGACGAAGACGAAGUCGAGAGACAGGGACGAAGACGAAAAAGACGAGGUCGGCUGCUCGGGCACUCGGGUGGGAUUUGCGAAUUUGGGAAAGAAAAGAGAUUGUGGUUUACUGCCACCGUGGCUUGUUUCAUAAUUUUCAUUUCUAAUUUUCGGCCUUCGCAGGAACUUUUGAUAAACUCGGUAAAACGUAACGUUUUUAACGUUUUUUACGAGUCAACCGGUUUUUCUACGAGUUUGACCGAGUCAACCUGAUUUUGCUAAUUUUUGAGUUUUAACCCCGAUUCUACACGUUUUCUGUAUUUUAACUCGUAAAAUCGGAUGAUUUUACGAGUUAAAACGCAUUUUUAACAACCAUGGUUGUCUCCCUCUCUGCAAUAGCUGCAAUACAUUACCUCCCUUACUUCAAGAAACUCUUGCAGGUAUAUUUUUUUAUGCUCUUCCAUUUCUUUCAGCUCUUCUUUUCGAUGGUGAAUGGGCCCAAUGGAGACUAUUUGAGGUGUGUAGGCAUGAUCCUUCGAGUCACGUAGUCUUUUAGGAACUCUGUAGAUGGAACACUUAUUGGAGAAGGGACGCAAGGUUUUCAACUCCUCUUCCACAGACUCUGCUAAUUUGUCAAUGUCAAGCGAAACAUGAUCAUUCCUCUUCAUCCAACAAUAUAAUUCAGCUUAUAUUUUCCAUCCCUGGAUUUGUAAUAGGUGAUAAAGCAUGUUGAAUGACAUAACCGACAUGAUUGAUCCAUCAUCCAUGUAAUCAAAGCUAUAUAAUUCAGCUUAUAUUUUCCAUCCCUGGAUUUGUCUUUUCUUCCCAAAUCUUAAAGCUAAUGAAGAUUUAUAUGGUGAUUAAUUUUAGAAUUUAUAAAAUUAAUUGAGGAAUACAUAAGAUAAUAAAACUAAAUAAUUAAUAAUAUUAAUAAUAUUAAUCAUAAUCUAGAAAUUCACGUUAAUAAUAAUAAUAAUUUUAAUUUUUGUCCCUCUUAACAAAUUAUCCUUGUUUUGGCUUCCUUGCAAAUUAAUCCGGGCUCUCCCCCUGUUUAGGUAAUAAUAAUAAUAAAAAAGCUAAAUAAUUCUGCAUGUUGCGUC